rfam:Schistosoma rodhaini strain Burundi genome assembly, scaffold: SROB_scaffold0000251
ACACUACUGAGGAGUCCCAUAAUAGGACGAAACGACCAUCCAGUAU